GCUGGGUGUGGUGUCACAUGUCUGUAAUCCCAGUGGCUCAGGAGGCUGAGGCAGGAGGAUCACAAGUUCAAAGUCAGUCUCAGCAAAAGUGAGGCACUAAGAAACUCAGUGAGACCCUGUCUCUA
rnacentral:sRNA from 1 species